rnacentral:rRNA from 1 species
AGCAGCCGCGGUAAUUCCAGCUCCAAUAGCGUAUAUUAAAGUUGUUGCAGUUAAAAAGCUCGUAGUUGAAUUUCGGGACCAAUAUGUUGGUCGUGCCUCGGUACGUACUGGUAUUAUUGGUUUCUCCCUUCUGAAGAACCUCGAUGCCAUUUAUUUGGUGUCGUGGGGAAUCAGGACUGUUACUUUGAAAAAAUUAGAGUGUUUAAAGCAGGCAUACGCUUGAAUACAUUAGCAUGGAAUAAUGAAAUAGGACGUUUGAUUCUAUUUUGUUGGUUUCUAGGAUCGACGUAAUGAUUAAUAGGGAUAGUUGGGGCAUUAGUAUUCAAUUGUCAGAGGUGAAAUUCUUGGAUUUAUUGAAGACUAACUACUGCGUAAAGCAUUUGCCAAGGAUGUUUUCAUUAAUCAAGAACGAAAGUUAGGGGAUCGAAGACGAUCAGAUACCGUCGUAGUCUUAACCAUAAACUAUGCCGAACUAGGGAUCGG